rnacentral:rRNA from 1 species
GUGGGGUAACGGCCCACCAAGGCUACGACGGGUAGCAGGCCUGAGAGGGUGGUCUGUCACACUGGGACUGAGACACUGCCCAGACUCCUACGGGAGGCUGCAGUCGAGAAUCUUCCGCAAUGGACGCAAGUCUGACGGAGCGACGCCGCGUGUAGGACGAAGGCCCUAGGGUUGUAAACUACUGUCACGGAUUAUGAAUGGUGUACGGUUAAUAGCCGUGCAAUUGACGUAAGUCCGAGAGGAAGCACCGGCUAACUCUGUGCCAGCAGCCGCGGUAAUACAGAGGGUGCGAACGUUGUUCGGAAUUACUGGGCAUAAAGGGCGCGUAGGCGGCGCGAUCAGUGUGGAGUGAAAGCCCACGGCUCACCCGUGGAACUGCUCUGCAUACUGUCGUGCUCGAGGACGGUAGGGGAGAGCGGAACUCUUGGAGGAGCGGCGAAAUGCGUAGAUAUCAAGAGGAACACCAAUGGCGAAGGCAGCUCUCUGGUCCGUUUCUGACGCUGAGGCGCGGAAGCUAGGGUAGCGAACGGGAUUAGAUACCCCGGUAGUCCUAGCCGUAAACGAUGGGCACUAGCUAGGGGCCCUCCCUGUGGGGUCCCUGGCGAAGCAAAUGUGCUAAGUG